ACCUAACUACACUGCAUAACUAAGUUAAUGUCCUAUCCAGAGUCACUUCUACUCUUAGGAAAGAAGAUCAGAUAGUAUGUAUGUAUACACAUCCAGGUGCUCAAAUUUCAGGCACUUUGAACUACACGCUCUGUUUAGCACAGAUGGGCAGUGAGCCAGGAAGAAACCAUGACAUCUCACUGCUAUUGAAGACUUUAAACUCUUGCCAGCCUUAAACAAAAGCAAACGUUCUACAACGGAUCUGCUACUGUCAAUCAAUAAAGACUGAUUGGCUGAUUCA